rnacentral:ncRNA from 1 species
CUAUGACUAAUUAUUAGUCAUGGCGGAAGGAG